UAAUGUAUGGGAGUCUGCCCGAUAGAGGGGAAUAACUACUGGAAACGGUGGCUAAUACCGCAUAAUGUCUACGGACCAAAGCAGGGGCUCUUCGGACCUUGCACUAUCGGAUGAACCCAUAUGGGAUUAGCUAGUAGGUGGGGUAAAGGCUCACCUAGGCGACGAUCUCUAGCUGGUCUGAGAGGAUGAUCAGCCACACUGGGACUGAGACACGGCCCAG
rnacentral:rRNA from 1 species